UACGUAGGGGGCUAGCGUUGUCCGGAAUCAUUGGGCGUAAAGCGCGUGUAGGCGGUUCGGUAAGUCGGGUGUGAAAUCCCAUGGCUCAACCAUGGAAGUGCACUCGAAACUGCAGGGCUAGAGUCCUGGAGAGGAAGGUGGAAUGCUUGGUGUAGAGGUGAAAUUCGUAGAUAUCAAGCGGAACACCGGUGGCGAAGGCGGCCUUCUGGACAGUGACUGACGCUGAGACGCGAAAGCGUGGGGAGCAAACAGG
rnacentral:rRNA from 1 species